ACUACCCGCUGAACUUAAGCAUAUCAAUAAGCGGAGGAAAAGAAAAUAACAAUGAUUUCCCUAGUAACGGCGAGUGAACAGGAAAGAGCUCAAAGUUGGAACCUGUUUGGUUUAGCCAAACCGGAUUGUAAACUGUAGAAGUGUUUUCCUGGCACGCCUGACGAAAAAGUCCAUUGGAACAUGGUGACAUAGAGGGUGAGAGCCCCGUAUUUUGUCAGAGCUGUUGUCUCUUGUGAUACACUUUCAAAGAGUCAGGUUGUUUGGGAAUGCAGCCUAAAUUGGGUGGUAAAUCUCACCUAAAGCUAAAUAUUGGCAAAAGACCGAUAGCGAACAAGUACCGUGAGGGAAAGAUGAAAAGAACUUUGAAAAGAGAGUUAAACAGUAUGUGAAAUUGUUAAAAGGGAACCGUUUGGAGCCAGACUGGCUUGAUUGUAAUCAAUCUAGAUUUCGAUCUGGAUGCACUUGCAGUCUAUGCCUGCCAACGACAAUUCAUUCUGGAGGAAAAAACUAAGUGGAAUGUGGCCCCUCGGGGUGUUAUAGACUCUUAGAAAAUACUCUGGUUUGGAUUGAGGAACGCAGUGAAUGCUAUUUGGCGAAGAUGCUGGGUGCUUUUAUUUUUGUUGUCUAGAAUUUCUGCUUCGGGUGGUGCUAGAUACCACGAGUAAAACUCGCCUAGUAUACUUUUUAUUCACUUAGGUUGUUGGCUUAAUGACUCUAAAUGACCCGUCU
rnacentral:rRNA from 1 species